rfam:Mustela putorius furo unplaced genomic scaffold scaffold00126, whole genome shotgun sequence.
GGAUAUAAGAGCAGUCUGGUUGUGACAUCUGUGACCCCAGUGUUGGCUGGGGUUGAUUAAGCUGAUGUGACUGGCAAGGCGGGUAGUUCCCUUUAUCCCUCACUGCUUCCGUGAGCAUUUUUCCCUAAGCUGCAUGCUUGGUCAGGCUUGCUUGGUCAGAGAGGACCUUUCUUCAGUCAGUGGUCUAUGAGUUCCCUCAAAGUCCAUUUGUAGGAGAAGAUAGGGUAGCCAGGCUUCCAAGACUCCUGACUAUCCAAAUGAGGUGCUGCAUGCGUCAGUCUGCCUUUCUUG